GAUAGCCGUAUCUCUCGGCUCAACUUAGGGUCUUGGACGUCGCGUUUUGCUGAUGAACUUUACUUAUAAAUUUCUCGAAAUUCUCGCCAGAAGACGGUCAUGUGUAUUCAGAAAUAUUUCGUCAAAACUGUUGCAAGUUUACACUAAAUUGUUACUCUGAAAGGCUUAGACAAGUUUUUGAAGUAAUUGCAACUGCAGCACACAUGAACUCAAUGUGUUGUGUGUUUUUGUAGUCACAAGUUGCAAAAGACAGCAGUUCACUGUUGAGCUCUUCACAACGUUGGGCGUAUAUCAUGAGUUCUACCUCCCUAGUCCACCAAGUUCUCUAUAGUUCCGACUAUGACUUUUUAAAGCAAAAUAAACUUCGGUGUUUGAGCUCGAUUUGAGCUCUUCACAUUAUUAUCGUGAAUUCCACGAAGUUCUAAAAUUCUCGACUACAGACCUGAAGAGAGCUAGCUCAUCCCAACGAAAUCUCAUGAUGACGCAUGAAGCAUUGAUUGAGACAUGAAAUGACUGAGGGCGAGUCAGCUGUAUAAGAUGGAGCAAGGCAGGAACAUCUUGAGGGGGACCCAGCGGCCAAGCAGUGAGCUCCUGUUCAGCCAAGCUUCAAGACACAUCGAUGAGGCGUAUUCGUGAGACGCAAGAAGAAUGAGGCCCACACGGGACAGGGGCUCGCCAACAACUCUCCUCGAAUGUGCCAGAUGGGAGUUGAAGAUCUAUGGAUAUGUGGUUUGUGGACGAAACAUUGGAGUCCUCGCCGGAGUCAUCGCCGGAUUCAGGUAAGGAAAACUUGGCACCAUCCGACCUCCACAUUUUUUUUGCGAUUAAAUCUUUUUAUAGAUGCUGCCCUUUGUCCUUCAAAAGCCUUAAUUGCUUUUUCUCUCUCAAAAGGGCAGCAAACACACUCUAAGAAUUAUGGAGACAUACUGCAACAUAAAAAAUAAAAAAAAAUCUAGUAAGAAUUAUGGAGACAUUGUGAUUAAAUUCUUUGGUAAAUGCUGCCCUUUAUCUUUAAAAGCCUUAAUCGCUUUUUCUCUCUCAAAGGGCAGCAAACACACUCUAGUAAGAAUUAAUGAGAUGUACUGCAUCUUAAUAAAAAAAAAACAAGAAAAAACAAUCUUGUAAGAACUAUGGAGACAUUCUGCAAUUUUUCAAAAAAAACAAAACAAUUGCUCAAUGUUAACGUUGAUGCACUUCUUGAAAACAAAUUUUAUGCAUUUUCCAUUGAACUGAAUGCACAUAAACUUUUUCCUAUGACUUUUGAUGGUUCUUAAAAGAAAGAAAAGAUGGUUCUAAGAAAAAAAAUUUAAAAGAAAUUUUAAGUGGAGGUCGGAUAACGCAAGUUGUCCUAAAUCAAGAUCAAGACAAGACGAAGACUCCAAAGUGUAAGAGGAAAUCUAACCCGUUCUCUUGCAGAGUCCCACCCCUCGUACCACCCCUUCCCUUCCAAGAUGGUCGCCGAUCUUGUCCUUACUUGUAGAGCUUUCAAGGUCACUUCAGAGUUUCUUGGCAUUUCUUAAUUUGCAUAUUGGUCGAAGCCAAUGAUGCUUUUUAAUUAGGAGACUAGUCUUACUGGAAAUUUCCGUGAGGGUUGAUACUUCAAGUCGUCAGUUGUCAUGUUUAUUUAUAAUUGUCAUGAUUUUACUCUUUUGUUUUUUUAUGUAACAAAAACCAACUUCAAUUCGAAAUAAUUGUUGAUAAUUCCUCUGAAGACACAAGCAAUAUAAGGAAUAAUUCAAACUUAAAAAUAGAUUCUGUAAUUAAGACCCCUUUUUGCUACUCUGUAAUAUAGGUGCUUUCAAAUUGAACUCACUAUCGUAAAUUAGUUAAAUGUAGUCAUUAUGCACUCAAAAAAAUAUUCCAUUCUAAUCAACAUUCAUUUUAUGAUUAAUGUUUGAUUUAGGAGUAUUGUAAACAGAGAAUUUAGUCCAGCUAAAUUUAUAUUUACAUAUUCCUAAAAUCAGCAUGACAUCAAUUCUGAAUGUAGAAAUUUCCAAAUAACUUAAAAUGUUGUUAAGGCAGUUAAAAUAGAUAAUCAAUAACAUAGUUCAAUGGAUGAUUGAUGUUUGAUUAAGGAGAAGUAAAUAGAGAAUUUAGCCCUGCUAAAUGAAUAUUUACAUAUUCCUACUAUCAGCAUUUCCUCAUUUGCUGAAUGUAGACAUUUCAAACUAUUUGGAAAAUGAAAAUAAUAAAAAACAACAAAGCUCUAACACUUGCCCAUUAAGAGCAAAAUCUUAAACUAAAAAUGGGGGAGACUGCGCUCCUUGAAAGCUGCAAAGCAUACAAACCCAGAAAUUGGCGCGAGAGAAGAAAGAGUGGAUGGAAAACAAACCGCCAAGGGAGAAAGACUUCAGUGGUGCCUUGGUAAGUAUGAAUGGUAAGACAGAAAGGCCUAGAGUAUCAGUGUUGGCCUAGAGAUAAGACUAACUCUCCACUCUUUCAGCAGGUUGACUGGAGAUAGGUUAAGUAUAAGGUAUGACUGGCGUAGUGCUUAGUCUUGAUUCAAGAUGCCCAAUAACAUUUCAUUUGCGAUAAUGCAACUCGCACAAGGACAGUAAAAACAAGAUCCUAAACAAAAUACAAGAUAAUGUCUUGAACCAAAACUAAGAACUACGCUGUCAUCAGUAAAAGCCCAGAACUUGAGUAGAAGAUGAAGACUCUCCCUGAGGUCAACUGGAGGUCAGCAGUUUGGAUAAAAGGUUGGACCUAAGUAUCGGGUAUAAGUAUUGGUAAGUGUAGUUGCGAUAACGUAACCCUCCUCCCAACGGCUGUCAGGAGGAGGGUUACAUUAUCACAACUAGGGUAAGUGUGAAAGAGUUUAUAACAACUCUUAAAUAUUCCACAGCCUUACCUUUUCUCCACAGAUAUGGAAUCUAUCCCAAAUCUUUUAAUUAAAGUUAGAUCAAAAAUCUGUGGCAACAAACGUUAUAUAGAUGAUCUAAACAAACGUUAGAUGAUCUAAUGUUUGUUUCCACAGAUUUUUGAUCUAAUCUUAAUUUUCACAGAAUUGGGAUCUGACCUUGAUUUUCACAGACCUAAUUGGGAUCUAAUGUUUAUUUCUUUUUACUUGUUUUUCCACAGUCUGUACCUGUUCCUCCUAAAGUAUUGUGUCGUGGCAUGUGAUGUGCUUUGAAACUCACAAAUUGAGCAGACAAAACACUCCUGAAAAUCCCUUUGAUGCCGCCGAUUCAUGACAUGAUGGCAGUGGGUUCAUUGAGGUCUUUGCAGCAAAGGUUAUAAAGUGGUAACCGGUUGCUGACUAGGAUGUUUUGGCAAGCAACUAUCCACAGAUGUCAGCACUGGGACACCGUAGACCGGUUUGGUUGAGAUGAUGGCCUUAAAGAUGACAUCUCGUGGCUAGAUGAACACUUUUUGGACUGGCCACCAGCAGAAGAAGGACUGUGUUAAGUCUAGCUAGAUGACUCCACUUCUACAAGAUGAACCGUUCAAGUGUCUGAGCGAUGUUGAGGUUAACCAACACUUUUUGGACAGGAGCAAAAAGUAAACAACAGAUAACUUAAUUAAGUUGAUGACCUUGGAGAUGACCCAACAUUGAGGCUAAUCAACACUUUAGGGACUGAGUGCCACCAGCUGAAGAAGGCUGUGUCAGUUCAAGCUCGGACUCUGCUACAAGUUCAACCAUUGAAGCGACAACGUAGGAAUGUUGUUAGAUAACCACCAUGAUGUGGACUGAACAGCUGAAGAUCUGGGUCAUAGUUCAAGGGACAAAUGGACAAGACAUUUACACUUUUCAGAGCCAACUCUCCCCCUGAAAGGUGCUUUUACACACAGUUGUACCUGCAAAUUGACUAUUACUUCUUAUUUUCCACAUCAUGCCAAGCUUCAAUGCUUUUUGGACUGUCACCGACUGAUGAAGAAAGACUGUGUCAAGUUUAGUCAGAAGGUUUACCCACAUGAACUGAAAUAAGCUGGACCAUGGUGGCGCCCUGUAUAAAGACACUUGAUGGGAUGACCAGCUUUGGGUGUGUCUGAAUAUGUGGCUGCGGCUAUGGCCGCAGCUGUUGCUGCUAUACUUUAAGUACAAUACGCUUUGGAUUUUGAUGGAGUCAACAGUAGUUAGAAACAAACAAUCAAAUCAGAUUGCAGCAAAUGUCAAAAACCUUUUAACUUCAACUGAGUGAAAAUGCCAAGAACAAUUAAAACUGGGUUACAGAUUUGAACAAAUUUCUUUUAAAACAAAAGUCACCAAAGUUCUUUGACAUGUUAGACAUCAUGGCAAGAAAAGAUUAGGUUAAGUCAUUUUCCUUUUGGUACACUGCUUUGUAAAAUAAAUUACUUGGUGAAGGUAGAAAACCGGACAAUUUUUAAGACAAAGUGGCAAUUAUUAUUUUGUAAGAGUUUUUAGAGGUAAUAAUUUGAUUUUGUUGGAUUAAAUCUGUUCAAUUUAAUUUCUGUAGGCCCCUCUUCUAUACUAGUGAGGUUAACUUUACAGAUUGUAUAAUAAGUUUGAGAAAGUUUACACUUGAGCGCAAAAUAGACAGAAGGCAUGUUUUAGCAGAAUGUGUGAGCAACGCUAUAACAAAACCAUGGCAACAAUCACAACACAAGGUCUGGGUUACACAAACAAACUAAAUCUAUCUUAGUUGCUAAGCAAAGUGUCGUGUCACAGUACAAAUCACCAUGGUAAUAUUGACAACUCAUUUUAAGAUGAAUCUUAGUGGUUUGUGAAACGGAGCCCAUUAACCCUAAUACCGAGCUAACAUUUA